CCCUACAAUCUUUUUUUUUUUUUUUUUUUUUUUAAUGUAUUUUCUAAGAGGUACAACAAGGGCUAAAUAGCACCACAAUCAUGAAACCAGACUUAAACUUUAACAAGCUCAGGUACAAACACACUUAAACACCAGAGGUCAGAGUUACUGUUUCUGAUCAAUCUGAUCAAAAUUUUGCUGAGGUGAAAGGAAAUACAGUGUGAACAGAAUCAGGCGAGUCCACUUCACUCAGGCUGCAACAAAUCUCUCAAAAUGAAGUAUGAAGGUGUUGAAGUUCACAGCUGACAUAAUGACAUGGUGUCUGUAGCACACAGCUUGUUUUGAUAUAAGCAGUCUACCCUAUAUUUAGCUCGUCAUGCUACAUAUGUGAUUAGCAAAGCUACAUAUGUCAUUAGCUAAGGACGCUAGGCCUUCGACCUACGCCAUAGUUUACACCAGUCAUUAGCUGAGCGUUAGGUCUUCAUUUUCACCAUCGCUGUGAAUUGGUUUAGUGUGUUAGCCCUUCAUCUAACAUCAGUGAUUAGCUUAGAUAGUGGUAGCUUCUAAUUCUAUGUGUGUUAGUGUUUUAUUCUACAUUAGCGAUUACCUCAGAGUGUUAGUGUUUUAUUCUACAUUAGAGAUUACCUCAGUGUUAGUGUUUUAUUCUACAUUUGCGAUUACCUCAUUAGUGAUUACCUCAGUGUUAGUGUUUUAUUCUACAUUAGAGACUACCUCAGAGUGUUAGUGUUAUAUUCUACAUUAGAGAUUACCUCAGUGUUAGUGUUUUAUUCUACAUUAGAGAUUACCUGAGUGUUAGUGUUUUAUUCUACAUUAGAGAAUUACUCAGAGUG
ensembl:lncRNA